rnacentral:lncRNA from 1 species
ACCCACACCCACUGCAUGCAGAAGCUCCCAGGCCAGGAAUCAAAACUACACCACAGCAGUGACACCGCUGGAUCUUCAACCCACUGAGCCACCAGGGAACUUGCUGGCACUGUGUUUUAACAAGCCCUCCAAGAGUCUAACGCACACUACAGUAUGAGAGCCACUGCUAACCUUCCUGACAACCCACCCACGACUCCUCCACAUUAAGCAUGAAUUAAUUUGUCCGCGUCACCAGAAAGCCUCUCUCCCCCUGCUUCCAUGCACACCCUCCUUCUCAAAUCACAAUUCUUCUCCUCCCCUGGAGUUCCUGCCCCAAUUCCCUAGGGGCUUAUGUAACCCAAUCCUAGAUCUCUAUUGUCAUUAUUCCUAUCUUCGGUCCCAGACCCAUCUUACAACGUGCUGGAGCACAGCUGCCCUCUUUUAUUUCUUUUUCAAUUUUUUAAAGUUUUAUUGAAAUAUAGUUGAUUUACAAGGUUGUGGUAAUUUCUGCUGUGCGACAGAGUGAUUCAGUUAUACGUGUACACACAUUUCAGAUUCUUUUUCCACACAGAGUACCACAGAAUCUUGGGUAGAGUUCUCUGCGGUAUACAGCAGGUCCCUGUUGGCCAAUUAUUCCAUAUACCUCAGUGUGCAUUAUGUCAGUCCCAAACCCUCAGUCCAUCUCUCCCCCUACCCCAUCUGUCCCUUUUAGUAACCUUAAAUUUUUCAAAGUCUGUGAGUCAAUCUCUAUUCUGCAAAUAAGUUCAUAUGCAUCCUUUUUUUUAGAUUCCACAUAGACGUGAUAUCAUAUGAUAUUUGUCUUUCACCGUCUGACUAACUUCACCUAGUGUGAUAAUCUCUAGGUGCAUUUACUUUUCUUCAAAUGGCAUUAUUUCAUUCUUUUUUAUGGCUGAGUAAUAUUCCACUGUAUAUAUGUCCUACAUAUUCUUUUCCAUUCAUCUGCUGAUGGCCAUUUAGGUUGCUUCCAUAUCUUGGUUACUGUAAAUAGUGCUGCAAUGAAUAUGGGGGUGCAUGUAUCUUUUCAAAUUAUGGUUUUCCCCAGAUAGAUGCCCAGGAGUGAGACUGCUGGAUCAUAUGGUAGUUCGAUUUUUAGGUUUUUUUUUUUUGAGGAAUCUCCAUACUGUUGAUCAGUUUACAUUCCCACCAAUUCAGCUGCCCUCUUUAACUCUGCAGAUCCUCUAGGUAGCUUACACAAUGACUCCUAGAGCACCCCUACUCUUGGGCACUCCUAGCCUAGCAAGGAAUGAGAUUUCCAGUCUCUGCCACAUAAUGUCCCAGAACUGACCCUCUCCCUCUCCAACUUCCGAUCUCAUUGUACCAUCCUCACCUCCCAAUCCUGACCCCAGAACAAGUGACAAUUCUUUCAGGAGAAAAAGCAAUUCCCCUUCUCACAUUAACAUUGUCUAAUGUUCUGCCCAACUACCAUCUCCACCUUCAUCAAUUCUUAUAAAUUGCAACAGAAAUAUAUAGUUGUGACCCCAGAAUUUACUUUGGAAAGACAAACAAUAACAUCCUAUCUGAUGUAAUCUGUGCAUGUGGGUCAGAAAGAAGAAUUUUCCAGAUUCAAAGAAAGGUGAAGACAAGAUUAUUGAGGCCAGAGGUGCUGUUAACACAGUGGGCUGACUUCCUGAUAAUCAGGGAGAGCCGGGCCUGGAGAGAAAGAAGUUUAAGACAAGAGACACUGCAAGCCCAGUGGGACAAUUUCCUGAUGAACAGGAAGAGCCUACCCUGGGUGCAUGGUUCUGCCUUGUUUUUAUAGCCCAGGGAGAGAGGACAGGUCUUGUGUUACACCUGCUGACCUGUUGUUUGGCUGGGCAAACAAGGGUCUUAUGAUACACUUGCUGGUUGGUUCAGGUCACACAAGGCCCCUUAGGGGUGGGUGAGGAGUGGGCCACCUACCUUUCCUAGUAGGGGCAGGAAAGAGUAGGUCAGGUUGCUCGAGGUGGGGGAGGGGCAUUACAAUGAGAUGGGUGGGGUGGUGUAAGGGUCUUGCAGUUCUUGUUUUAUCUAGAGGCUUUGAGGUCAAUCUCCUUGAAGGGGGGCCUUGAAAUCCAACACUAUCCUCUCCCAAUCCUCUCACAAAAAUCAUUAACAGGGGUUUUGAACCCCACCUAAAAAUGUGUUUUGUUAUCAUUGAAAAGAUGAACUUUUAAUGUUUCAAUUGAACUUUGAGUUGAUGGAGAGUCACUGAGGAAAAGAUACUCAUCAGCCUUCUGUGAAAGGUGAGGUCUGGAGCCUGGUUUGGAACAGGGAUGCCCAGGAGUGGUGAUGCCCUGGGAACACGAGGGAAAGGGAACAAACCACUCUGCCUAAUAAGCAGACUGACUCCCUGGGGCUAAGAGACUAUCAUUAUAAACUGAUGCUUUCUAUUAUUCAAUGGUAAUUAUUUUAUAUUUUAAGUGUUCACAAUGGGAAUUUAGUUGUUUAGGAAGUUUUUUUGUUUCAUUUCAGUUUUCUGUUGUCCACCAGGGCAUGGAGCCACCUAAGUGUUAUCUGUAUUUGUUAGUGUGAUUAUAGAAUCAAUUUUUAGUGAGUUAACUAUUACAGUUCUGCACAGUUCAGUGGGGUUGGGGAGCAAUGUCUUUUACAAUGUUAUGUACUCUAUAAAGAAUAACAUACGUGUAUACAUUUAACUUUAAAUAAACUGAUGCUUGACUUCCACAGGAUUAGCCUUCAGAAACAGGGUUAGGAGGACUGGGUAGGGAUGGGUAGUGAGGCAGGCUGGACUGCAGAAAAGAGAGAAAUCACAGGAGCCAGAUACUUGUCAGGCAUCUGGUGCCCAAAGAUACAAAUGCCACCGUCAUAACCCACCAUGAUUCCCCUCAUUCCCAAAGUUAUUGGUUAUGUUUGUUAACCUAUCACCUGAGUAUCAGACUUAGGAAACCAAAAGAGAGUCCAGUCAUAUUCAGGGAGAAAGUAUUUGACUCUUGAAAGCAUUUGAUUCAGAAAGAUGUUCUGAAUUCAGACAUAUAUUCAGUGGGGUAGGGGAGCAAUGGCAAAUUUUUUUAGACCUCACCUUGAGGUCAUAUACUCCCACUGCUGUCAAACAUUAUUGCUACUGUUUCUAAGGAAACUUUAAGAAGAGAGAACAAAGCAACAAAGUCAUUGGUAAGAAAUGAUGACUGCUUAAAACAACUUUUAAGAUUUAAAUGUAUGUUAUUUUCCUCCCAGUUUUCACCAUACUCCUCCCUAGGAUCUGUCUUUAAGUAGAAAGAAAAGCACCUUGGAACAGCUAACGCAGUGCAGAUUAGUGACCCUGAUUCUUUUCAAUGUAACUAGAAUGUUUUCCAAGGCUAAAAAAUUGUUCAAGCUACUCUGUAUCCAGUACGAUGUGUAUGCCCAGUGUAACUUGAACCCAUGGAUACAAAUAUUUUCUUUUACAUUCACUGUGCGUUAUUCAAUGACAGUUAACAUACAUUUUUAAAACUCAAUUGUGAAUUAUCUAUUGAAAUUAUAGCUAAUUCUCACCUUAUUACAUAUUAGAAAAUAUUUAGGAUUUUCUAUAUGCUGUUUGCAAAAGGUAAAAUUAUUUAUUAGCUGUUGAAUCCAUUCACUUUUAGUAGCAAAUACCUUACUGUUUCAUUUUUUAAAAGUUUAAUCAUUUGUCUAAAUAGCUCUAUGGAGUUUUGCUGAUUUCUUAUGGAUGAUUCUUUAGUUAUUCCCAAACAGCUGAGCAAAUUUAAUAUACACAUCCAUAUAUACAAAACAAAUGCCAUGCCUUUUCUCAUACAACACACAAUAAAUACCUUACACAUUUAGCAACAUGCUGUAUUGCAUUUUUGGUAAUUAAGUAAAGGAUAACAUGUCAUAUUCUAAUCAUGUUUUCAUAACUAAUAAAACAAUUAUACCUUCGUCGACUCAAAAAAAUGCACAACCUGAAUGUCGAGAGCUAAGUUUUAUUUGGGGCAAAAUUAGGACUUAAGCCUGGGAGACAGCAUCUCAGAUAGCCCCGACAAAACCACUGAAAACCACUUCCCGUGGCUGUGAGGGGUGUUGAAGGAGCUAGGAUACACAGAAGUUUUUGCAACAAAGGGCAGGGAGCAGGAACAAAAGACGCCUGGGCUCACGGAAAUCAUUCCUUUGAUAUGUACCUCCACUAUCAGUCCCAGUAUCCUGAGUUUUCAGUCUGCAGGACUCACCUGCUCUCACCCUUGGAGGUGACUGCACUCACAGACUCUGACAUUCUUGGUUUUAUCCUUAACUACAGACCGAGCUGAAAUACCACCCAAGGAGGAAAAGGGGUAUAUCAGGAUAUGAUAAAGGGGAGGGGGAGGUGCAUGCAGCACACACACAUUUUACAAAGGUUUGUUGCUGAUCUCCCAAAGGUUACUACCCAUCAUAAGAAGCAAACAUCACCACGAAGGAUUUUAGUGUUUUUCUAGAUAUGAGGAGAUGCAAGAAUUGGGCACAUAAAAUCUCCUAAAAAUAUAUGACUCUCUUAAGACCUGUUCUUCCAGUUUUCCCAGAGCACAGAGGGCCUCACUCCCAUGUUCAACCUGAGCUCCUUCUCGGGCACUGAGAGUCAGUAGCUGCAGUGGUUCAUAAUUUAACCCAUGGAGAGGCUGAUGGCAAGUGCCAAACUUCAGUUCACACCUUAUAUCAUUUAAAUCUGGAUUGCUUUUAGUAAUUUUUUUUUUUUUUUUUUUUUUUUGUCUUUUUAGGGCCGCACCCAAGGCAUAUGAAGGUUCCCAGGCUAGGGGUCUAAUGAGA